rnacentral:rRNA from 1 species
ACGGAAGGCAGCAGUGGGGAAUAUUGCACAAUGGGCGCAAGCCUGAUGCAGCGAUGCCGCGUGAGGGAAGAAGGUUUUCGGAUUGUAAACCUCUGUCAACAGGGACGAAAAUGACGGUACCUGUGAAGGAAGCUCCGGCUAACUACGUGCCAGCAGCCGCGGUAAUACGGAGGAUCCGAGCGUUAUCCGGAUUUAUUGGGUUUAAAGGGUGCGCAGGCGGCUUUUUAAGUCAGUGGUUAAAUCGUGACGCUCAACGUCAUCACGCCAUUGAUACUGGAGAGCUUGAUUGCGGUCGAGGUUUGCGGAAUUCGUUGUGUAGCGGUGAAAUGCAUAGAUAUGACGAAGAACACCGAUUGCGUAGGCAGCAGACCAGGCCGUAAAUGACGCUCAUGCACGAAAGUGCGGGGAUCGAACAGGAUUAGAUACCCUGGUA